AAUCCCGACAAUAUGUAGGGGCGGUAAGGCGACAUCCCUUGCGUGACCCACCGCGGAGUAGUCACAGCGCCACCAUGUGGCAGCAGGCAAAACAUCGCCUGCCUGCCUCGUGUGUGGAAACGCGACUCUCCACGCCUCUUCAGGUCACACACACAGAGUGUGGGUGGUCGGCGACAGUUUUAUUCGUCGAGCUAAAGAUCGACCCUUAGCUACACAAUCGGCUACUCUGGGCACCACCAGUGCAGCGGUCCACUGGUUUGCUAGAGAGGGGGGGCACUGCUGCAUGACUUGCCAAAAGACUUGAAGAGGCUGCUACAGGCACACCUACCCCCAUCAUUGCUAAUCGUGCACCCAGGGUCGAAUGGCAUGGGACGAUGCGAAACAAAAUGCUGUCGUGAUGCAAUAGUUACUUGCAUAUCCGUAAUUCGGCACUGCCAGCUAAAGUGCUACGUAACUUGGUCCUGUAUUCUACCCAUACCCAGAAUGAUGUACCGCAGCUGGUUGAAGGAAAGCUCAUCACAGAAAGCUCUGGAGAGGGUUAGGAAAUCCUUGAAUUCCUGAGCCAGACGUCGGUUGAACAAACUGGAGAACACAUCAGCCAUAUUCCACCCACAGAUAACAGUAUCAUGCCCCCGGCUAUUCCAUAAAGAUGGAUUCAUCUGUCUAAUGAGGAGUCCAAUAUCUUCAUUCAAGACUUUGUAGCUGCACUGCAGGCGGCAAAUGCUGAGUCCAGCAACACACACAUUUCAUAGAUUUGAGAAUCUUACGUACAAUAUGCCUGCAGGACAGCACAGUCGCUGGACCGAAAGGGAUGUGAAUGGUACAACAUAAUUCACAUUGUCUCCGUGUGGGCACAGAUUGGUGUCCCAGAAGACGAUUGAGUAGCCAACGGCGCUAGUCAUGCUCACAGAGGCACUUUCUUAAGAUAUGUAAGAUCAUGAAGUCAUUGUUAACUUGUAGUAGAUGUAGUUAUGUCCCUAACUUAAAUGUGUCAGUUGGUAACGGAGCUGGUAUACUAAAUGUCAUGGAAAUUGUGCCGCUCUUUGGAAAUCAUUGUUAAAUUAUAGUGAAUAUAGGGAAGUGCCUAAUUUACGGUGUCAGUUGGUUACAAAAAAUGGUAAACUAAGUGUUAUGGCAUGAGCGCCACUCUUGGGUCAACUGUCAUUGUUUUAGCUGGUCUUGAGUUCACGAACAAUUGUUGGCACAAUUUGUGCCCCUGGAAUCAAGGGGUUGAGACGAUACUUAAUAAACUAGCACCACAAGAGAACCAACGAACAAAUGUCACAAGGUAGAAAUAUGGAUGGCUUCAAACCUUAUUAUAAUUGCUAGCGGAGUGUACGUAUUAUUAGUAAAGCAGAACAAGCCAUGUUUAGUUGUUAAUAACAAGCUACAGAUCUGGUGCCAUUCGAUCUAUUUGGAGAGAUUACAUUGAUAACGAGGUAACGAGCUGCCAUAGUAAUUUGCAACAUUGCACCCAGGUGCUACGACUGAACCUUGUUUGAAUAAGGUCGGUCUUCGUGGCCACACUUGGUUGGGUGUGCACCGUUGCUGAAGCAACACACACACGCACAACCACAAAAAAGUCGUGGGUUGUAUGGCCCAGGCCCUGGGAGGAGAGGUGGAAUUGCUUAUCUUGAGGGGGUGGGGUCGGCACAAACGGACGAGCGAUCUAUCGCCGAGGGUUCUGGCUCACGCCAACAUUCAUGCUUUGUGGUUUGGAUCAGGGCCAUUCUCUCCUCCAGGGGCUCUUGUAUUGUUCUAGUUGAUCCGGUUGCGGAUGAAUACAUAUACAGCAGUUGUCAUUAUGCAAUCAACCUUGUUGCUAGCAUUACAAAAAGAUGAUAUCUAACUAUUAAAGCAAAUUGAGAAAAUUGCAUUACAUGGUGUAAAAGUCAA
rnacentral:lncRNA from 1 species